rnacentral:rRNA from 1 species
UGGGGAAUCUUCCGCAAUGGACGAAAGUCUGACGGAGCAACGCCGCGUGUAUGAUGAAGGUCUUCGGAUUGUAAAGUACUGUCAUUGGGGAAGAACGGUUUUCCUGAAAAGAUUGAGAAGACAUGACGGUACCCAAGGAGGAAGCCCCGGCUAACUACGUGCCAGCAGCCGCGGUAAUACGUAGGGGGCAAGCGUUGUCCGGAAUUAUUGGGCGUAAAGGGCGCGUAGGCGGGCCUUUAAGUCCGGUGUGAAAGAUCAGGGCUCAACCCUGAGAGUGCAUCGGAAACUGGAGGCCUUGAGGACAGGAGAGGAAAGUGGAAUUCCACGUGUAGCGGUGAAAUGCGUAGAUAUGUGGAGGAACACCAGUGGCGAAGGCGACUUUCUGGACUGUAACUGACGCUGAGGCGCGAAAAGCGUGGGGAGCAAACAGGAUUAGAUACCCUGGUAGUCCACGCCGUAAACGAUGAGUGCUAGGUGUAGAGGGUAUCGACCCCUUCUGUGCCGCAGUUAACACAAUAAGCGCUCCGCCCGCUGGGGAGUACGGCCGCAAGGUUGAAACUUAAAGGAAUUGACGGGGUCAUAGCUGUUUCCU